rnacentral:tRNA from 1 species
GCGGAAAUGGCGGAAUUGGCAGACGCGUCAGGUUGAGGGCCUGAUGGUAGCAAUACUGUGCAGGUUCAAGUCCUGUUUUCCGCA